CAUUUGUUUCGUUACCAACAUUUUAUUUUUGUUAAUAAAUUCCGGGUCGAUCUUUGGGACAUAUUUGUCAUGUGAUUUAUAUAAUGUGUCUAUAUUCUCAGUAAGACCACAAAAAGGAGGUGCAUGAUAAUCAUUUAACUCUGAAAUUAAAGGUGCAGUAUCACCAAGUAAAACAAGUCUCUAAAUUCAUAAAUAGAGGCUAAAAACAGAAAUACAACAGAUGUAACAUGUCUACAAAGUGUGCACUUAAAUUAGCACUUUAUCUCACUUUACAGAAUAAACAUAAACCUGUUUAAAAUCCUCCUUUACA